AGUGAACGCUGGCGGUAGGCCUAACACAUGCAAGUCGAACGGCAGCACAGUAAGAGCUUGCUCUUACGGGUGGCGAGUGGCGGACGGGUGAGGAAUACAUCGGAAUCUACUUUUUCGUGGGGGAUAACGUAGGGAAACUUACGCUAAUACCGCAUACGACCUACGGGUGAAAGCAGGGGAUCUUCGGACCUUGCGCGAUUGAAUGAGCCGAUGUCGGAUUAGCUAGUUGGCGGGGUAAAGGCCCACCAAGCCGACGAUCCGUAGCUGGUCUGAGAGGAUGAUCAGCCACACUGGAACUGAGACACGGUCCAGACUCCUACGGGAGGCAGAAGUGGGGAAUAUUGGACAAUGGGCGCAAGCCUGAUCCAGCCAUACCGCGUGGGUGAAGAAGGCCUUCGGGUUGUAAAGCCCUUUUGUUGGGAAAGAAAAGCAGCAGGUUAAUACCCCGCUGUUCUGACGGUACCCAAAGAAUAAGCACCGGCUAACUUCGUG
rnacentral:rRNA from 1 species